UAUGCCAUCUGCUUCAGUUCCUGUGUCCAUGUUCCUGCCUUGACUUCCUUCCCUGACUUCACUCAAUGAUAAGCAAGCUGUAUGACGAAGUCCUUUCCUCGCCAAGUUGUUUUUUGGUCAUGGCCUUCAUUAUAGUAACAGAAAGCAAACUAAGACACCACUGAUAUCCUCAGAUUCAAAAUGAUGUCAGUGAAAGACAAGGAAACCUGUAUUAUGCACACCCUGAUACUCAAGAUGAGAAAACCCAUUGGAAGUGUUUCAAGAUGUGAGCUCUCGGGCACUGUGUCUGCUCCAUGCCUGCCUGCCUGUCUACCUGCCUGCCUGUCUACCUGCCCGCCUGUCUACCUGCCUGCCUGUCUGCCUGCCACCAAAGUCCCUGCCGUGAUCUUCAUGGACUCUAAGCUGGGACCAUAAGACCCAACUUCAGUACUUUCUUUUAUGUGUUGUCUUGGUCAUGGUGUUUUAUCUCAUCAAUAAAAAAGUUACUAAGACUGAUGGCGUUAAGGUUCCUGAUCAGAACUGAAAAUGCAUCAGUAUUUUCUUCCAGUCAAAUGAGCUUGGGUUGUAUAGACAUCUUUGGUAAAAUGUAAACAUGAGACAGUUGGAUAUGCAUCUUUGGUAAAGUGUAAACAUGGGAUUAUGAUAUGUUAUGCAUGAAUUGUUCUAUCUUAUUUGAAGUAAUUGAACUAUUUUAUUUUAAUUUAUAUUAAUAAACAGUUGUAUGAUAUAUUUUUAUUUACUUACCUUUUAUCUCUCUUUCAGGGCAUAUCUUCAAAAAAACAUAAAGUUGAGGCCUGCAUUUUCAUCAUACUCAAAAUAACUUAUUUUAUUCUGUAUAUUCAGAAUUCUGGAUAUUGGUAAAUGCUUGAUAUGCUCGUAGCUUCGUUGUUUUCUAUGGUUUCAUCUGUUUGUUUUCCCAAUUUCAGUUCAUUUUUUAAUUUUCCUGGAGACAAUGUCUCAAAAACAUCAGGGCAUUCUUGAGGUUAGGCAAUCCUCCUGUCUCUGUCUCCUAAGUACUGGGUCAUAGGUGUGAGCCACUUCACCUAGUCAACUUUACAUCUUUAUUGGGAAAUUUUCACAAGAUCUCAUCGUGACUAUUUAUAGACUUUCAGAAUGUGGUUCUUGGUAUAUUGAGUAAAUUAUGUAUAUCUAUAUAUUUAGAGUUCUUGCUCUGGGUGCCACAAUUCAUAAAUGUCACAAUACAAUGGUAAUGACAUUUUCCUACUUCAGUAGACUUAUGAAAACCUAACUUUCAAUGUGCCCCCAUGCCUUCUCUACUUCAAUAUUAUCAUUUUCAGUACCUGGUAAUAUUAGCAUUUUUGUUCCAUUAUCAGAUACAUUGCAUAUAAAUCAUUUAAACAUAUUUCUCUUUUGUUCUUUCUUUUCCAGUGAGAUCAUCCACAGUUUUCUUAUUCGACAAUCUCUUUUCUUUCUGAAGAACUUAUUUUAGUCAUCCUUUAAGGAAAAGUAUAAUGUGCCGGGCGGUGGUGGCGCACGCCUUUAAUCCCAGCACUCGGGAGGCAGA